rnacentral:lncRNA from 1 species
CCAAAUUGCAUAAGUGAUAUUCCUGUCUGGAAAAGGACUAGAAUCUCACUGAAGAGGCAGACCCAAGAAUAUAAAAUUUAAAAUAAUGAGGAAAAACCAAAGUACAGUAUUGGGGAUACUGGUGAUUGAACUCAUACUAUGCUAUGUCCUCAGCCCUUUUUAAAAUUUUGAGAAAGGAUCUCCCCAAGUUUUCCUGGUGGGACUUGAACUUAAAAUACUCCUGCCUCAGCUUCCCUCAGUGCUAUUAUUAUAGCCCCAGGGCCUUGGAGCCCAGUCCCCGGAGCAGAAGACUGAAGCACAUAGGAAAAUGGAAGACAGAAGAGAGGAACGGACAGGGCAGAGUUAGCGCUCCCACCGAGUGACUCCAAAGGAUUCCUAGAAAAGAUGCAGCUUUCAAAGGCGACUGCAGUGAGGAGUAUCUGUGAACAAUUUCAAGAAUCACUUCUGAAGAAAUACCAGUACAGAAAUUAUUAUGAUUUGCAAUCACACCUGUGUGUACUGAACAACAUGACCUGUGAAAUCCUGCAGUAUAUUAUAGAAGAAGCACAUAAGGAGUGAUAUGGCACAUUCUCAAUUGAGGAUAACUUAUGAAAAACAUUUUAUCCAUUGGACACCUCUUCUUUUUUUUUUGAUAAUUUUCAUACAGUCUUAAUCUAGGUUAUCCAUUUCAGUCAUGUAGUUUGAGAGCAUAAAUAUAGCAAUCACAAAACCAAAAGUAUGUUCAAUACUUUGAAAUUAUUAUUGCUAAUUUUCUUGAUCAUUUUCUAAAUAAUGGAUAAUUAAAUAUUUUCAAGUAUCCACUAUACUUUGUACAAAACUGUACAAAAACAGUGAAAUAUAAUCCUUUGCAUAUACACUCACAUAUACACACUCAUAUUUAUAAAUAUCAAAUGGCAAUGAAUGAUGAAAUAUAAAAACACAAGGACAAAGUCCAUUCCUUUGAUAAAAUAGUAUUUCCAAUUUUACAAUGUAUUCCAGCUACCUGUGGUCAUGUACACCUGUAAUCCCAGUACUCAGAAGGCUGAGGCAGGAAGCUCACCAUGAGUUCAAGGGGAGCAUGGGCUACAUAGUGAGUUCAAGGCCAGCCUGAACUACAUAACAAGACCCUACCUUAAAAACAUAUUCAAAUCAAAUCAAAUGCAUUCCAUAGUGGUUUUACUAAUAUACAUUUCCACCUACAGUGUAGCAGGGUUCUUUUGUCCCCACAGCUUUGCCAGUACCAACUAUUUGUUAUUGAUUGUUUGAUGAUAGCCGUUCUUUCAGGAGUGAAAUGAAAUCUCAGUGUUGUCAUUUGCAUUUCUCUAAUGAUCAGUGAUGUUGAACAUUUAUGCGUUUUAUUGGCCAUUUAUGCUUCAUGUAAGAAGUGUCUAUUCAUUUCAGAUGUCCAUCUUUUGAUUGGGUCUUUUAUUUUGGGGGCUCUAAUUUUUUUGAGUUCUUUAUAUGUUAUAAAUGGAGAACUAAAAAAAAAAAACUAAAGUAGAAAUUCCAUCUGAUCCAGCUAUGUGUCUUCUCACAAGAGUGAAAGAUGUCAUAUUGCAGUGAUAUGCAUUAAUAUGUUUAUAGCAGCACAAAUUAUAAUAGCUAAAUCUUGAAUGUUAUAUGUUCAUGAACAGAUGAAUGGUUAAAAACGAUGUGAUAUUUAUAUACAUAAUGAAGUAAUUUUCUGCCAUGAAGAAGGAUAAAACUUGAGUAAUUUGUAGGAAAAUGGAUGCACUUUGAGACCAUAAUGUUAACCAAAAUGAAUCAGACACACAAGCUUAGAUAUUGCAUGAUUUCUCUUAUAUGUGAACCCCAAAAUUCAAAUAAAGAACAAAAGAAUAAAU